AGCAGCCGCGGUAAUUCCAGCUCCAAUAGCGUAUAUUAAAGUUGUUGCAGUUAAAAAGCUCGUAGUUGAAUUUCGGGGUCAGUAGAUUGGUCAUGCCUCCGGUAUGCACUGGUCUUACUGGCUCCUCCUUCCUGAUGAACCGUAAUGCCAUUAAUUUGGUGUUGCGGGGAGACUGGACUGUUACUUUAGAAAAAUUAGAGUGUUUAAAGCAGGCUAACGCUUGAAUACAUUAGCAUGGAAUAAUGAAAUAGGACGUUCGAUCUUAUUUUGUUGGUUUCUAAGAUUGACGUAAUGAUUAAUAGGGAUAGUUGGGGGCAUUAGUAUUCAAUUGUCAGAGGUGAAAUUCUUGGAUUUAUUGAAGACUAACUACUGCGAAAGCAUUUGCCAAGGAUGUUUUCAUUAAUCAAGAACGAAAGUUAGGGGAUCGAAGACGAUCAGAUACCGCCGUAGUCUUAACCAUAAACUAAUGCCGACUAGGGAUCGG
rnacentral:rRNA from 1 species